GAAAUGCGAUAACUAGUGUGAAUUGCAGAAUUCCGUGAAUCAUCGAGUCUUUGAACGCACAUUGCGCCCCCUGGUAUUCCGGGGGGCAUGCCUGUCCGAGCGUCAUUGCUGCCCAUCAAGCACGGCUUGUGUGUUGGGUCGUCGUCCCCUCUCCGGGGGGGACGGGCCCCAAAGGCAGCGGCGGCACCGCGUCCGAUCCUCGAGCGUAUGGGGCUUUGUCACCCGCUCUGUAGGCCUGGCCGGCGCUUGCCGAACGCAAAUCAAUCUUUUUCCAGGUUGACCUCGGAUCAGGUAGGGAUACCCGCUGAACUUAAGC
rnacentral:misc_RNA from 1 species